GAUGAACGCUGACAGAAUGCUUAACACAUGCAAGUCUUUGGCGAAGCUGUGCUUGCACAGCCUAGCCAAGGCGGACGGGUGAGUAACGCGUAAGGAACUUGCCCUGCAGUCAGGGAUAACAGACGGAAACGACUGAUAAGACCUGGUAAAGUCAGGCGGACUCAUGUCCAGCCUGAUGAAAAGAGAUGCUGCAGGAGAGCCUUGCGUCCUAUUAGCUUGUUGGUGGGGUAACGGCCCACCAAGGCGAUGAUAGGUAGCCGGCCUGAGAGGGUGGACGGCCACAAGGGGACUGAGAUACAGACCUUAAUCCUACGGGAGGCAGCAGUGGUGAAUAUUGGACAAUGGGGGCAAGCCUGAUCCAGCAAUUCAGGGUGCACGAUGAAGGUUUUCGGAUUGUAAAGUGCGUUCAGCAGGGAAGAAAAAAUGACGGUACCUGCAAAAGAAGCGACGGCUAAAUACGUG
rnacentral:rRNA from 1 species